UUUACGCUUGGCCCUGGGCCUUCAGUCUACUUGGUUGCUGUGGGACUGGGUCUUGGCUGGUGAGGUCCCUGCCCUGCCUAUGAAUGUUGUGCUCAGCUCCCGACUCCUCAUCUCUUAGGGAGCAACUGGUUUGUGCUUCUUUCUGACGGAUUUGGGGUCUGCGCGGUUGUGCAACUCUGAGUUUGUGUAGUUCCUACCUGGAUGUAAUUGUUUUGGCCUUGCACAUAGAACAGUCUGUCAGUUUGCAACCCCAAAACUCCUGUAGGAGACCUAGAGAAUGCACUGCAUGUCAAGGGGAAGACUGAAUGGAUGAAGUACUCUGGAAUGGUAGAGCAGAAGGAAAGCACAUCUUCUAACCACUCUGAUUAUCCCCUGCUGCUGCUUGGCAUCCACACAUGCUGCAAGAGAAAAGCCAGACCUGGAAGCAAUCUGCUGAGAGUUUCAAAUUCUCUCUGUUUCUCUCUUCCAGUCCAUUAGGCCAGAAAGGGAAUGGCAGUCAACAAGUUUUUC